rnacentral:rRNA from 1 species
GGUUGAUCCCGCCGGAAGUUACUGCUAUCGGUGUUCGACUAAGCCAUGCUAGUUAAAUGUUCUUUGUGAACAUAGCGGACUGCUCAGUAACACGUGGACAAUCUGCCCUUGGGUUCAGCAUAACCCCGGGAAACUGGGGAUAAUUCUGAAUAGAUCACAUAUGCUGGAAUGCUUUGUGAUUUAAAGAUCCGUCGCCCAAGGAUGGGUCUGCGGCCUAUCAGGUUGUAGUGGGUCUAGAGUACCUACUAGCCGACGACGGGUACGGGUUGUGAGAGCAAGAGCCCGGAGAUGGAUUCUGAGACAUUAAUCCAGGCCCUACGGGGCGCAGCAGGCGCGAAACCUUUACACUGCGGGAAACCGCGAUAAGGGGACACCGAGUGCCAGCAUACAAUGCUGGCUGUCCACAUGUGUAAAUAGCAUGUGAUAGCAAGGGCCGGGCAAGACCGGUGCCAGCCGCCGCGGUAACACCGGCGGCCCGAGUGGUAAUCACUAUUAUUGGGUCUAAAGGGUCCGUAGCCGGUUUAAUCAGUCUUCCGGGAAAUCUGACAGCUCAACUGUUAGGCUUCCGGGGGAUACUGUUAGACUUGGGACCGGGAGAGGUAAGAGGUACUACAGGGGUAGGAGUGAAAUCUUGUAAUCCCUGUGGGACCACCAGUGGCGAAGGCGUCUUACCAGAACGGGUCCGACGGUGAGGGACGAAAGCUGGGGGCACGAACCGGAUUAGAUACCCGGGUAGUCCCAGCCGUAAACGAUGCUCGCUAGGUGUCUGGAAUGGUGCGACCGUUUCAGGUGCCGCAGGGAAGCCGUGAAGCGAGCCACCUGGGGAAGUACGGCCGCAAGGCUGAAACUUAAAGGAAUUGGCGGGGGAGCACUACAACGGGUGGAGCCUGCGGUUUAAUUGGAUUCAACGCCGG